rnacentral:rRNA from 1 species
GACGAACGCUGGCGGCGUGCUUAACACAUGCAAGUCGAACGAAGUGGCGAACGGGUGAGUAACGCGUAAUCAACCUGCCCUUCAGAGGGGGACAACAGUUGGAAACGACUGCUAAUACCGCAUACUGAAGGUGGGGAUUGCGUCUGAUUAGCUAGUUGGAGGGGUAACGGCCCACCAAGGCGAUGAUCAGUAGCAGGUCAGAGGGGACGAACGGCCAAAUCUGGACUGAGACACGGCCAAGGAUCCUACGGGAGGCAGCAGUGGGGAAUCUUCCGAAAUGGACGAAAGUCUGAAGGAGCAACGCCGCGUGAGUGAUGACGGCCUUCGGGUUGUAAAGCUCUGUUAAUCGGGACGCGGUACCGGAAUAGAAAGCCACGGCUAACUACGUGCCAGCAGCCGCGGUAAUAC